rnacentral:rRNA from 1 species
AGAUUGAACGCUGGCGGCAGGCCUAACACAUGCAAGUCGAGCGGUAGAGAGGUGCUUGCAUCUCUUGAGAGCGGCGGACGGGUGAGUAAUGCCUAGGAAUCUGCCUAGUGGUGGGGGAUAACGUUCGGAAACGGACGCUAAUACCGCAUACGUCCUACGGGAGAAAGCGGGGGACCUUCGGGCCUCGCGCCAUUAGAUGAGCCUAGGUCGGAUUAGCUAGUUGGUGAGGUAAUGGCUCA